rnacentral:rRNA from 1 species
UACGUAGGGAGCGAGCGUUGUCCGAAGUUACUGGGCGUAAAGCGCGCGUAGGCGGGCUGUUAAGUGAGAGGUGAAAGGCUGGGGCUUAACCCCAUGCAGUGCCUCUCAUACUGGCGGUCUUGAGUGCGGCAGGGAGAAGUGGAAUGGCUGGUGUAGCGGUGAAAUGCGUAGAUAUCAGUCGGAACACCGGUGGCGAAGGCGGCUUCUUGGGCCUGGACUGACGCUGAGGCGCGAAAGCUAGGGGAGCAAACGGG